rnacentral:rRNA from 1 species
AUAGAGCUGGUCUCGCAUUGUAGGUUGAUAAAUCGUUUCCUAGUGUUAAACCUUUCAAUUAAAGUUCCUUGGAACAGGACAUCAAAGAGGGUGAUAAUCCCGUGAUUAAUUGAAUGACAUACCAGUUUAAUGCGUCUAUGGAGCGUUUUCUUAGAGUCGGAAUGUUUGGGAUUGCAUUCCAAAGUGGGUGGUAAACUCCAUCUAAGGCUAAAUACUGGCGAGAGACCGAUAGCGAACAAGUACCGUGAGGGAAAGUUGAAAAGCACUCUGGAGAGAGAGUCAAACAGUACGUGAAAUUGCUAGCAGGGAAACGUUGGAUACCAGUACACGGCAAUUAAUGUCAAUGAUCAGUUAAUGUAUUGUUUAUUUGUGAUGUGGUGUUUACUUUGGAGAUCGUCUCACGGCGACUCACAUAUCAUAAAUGAAUAAUGUAUUGGUGCACUCAUUGACAGCCGGGUCAACAUCAGUUAAUGACGUUCGAUAAGUUAUUAGACAAGGUAUCAUUAGUAAGUUUACUUACUUUUGAACUUAUAGGUCUGAUGUACAAGGAUGUUAUUGACUGAGGAUAGUCGAUUCGUGCGUUUCGGCGCAGGGCGUACUGGCUAGAUCAAGGCAGCCCGUGGCGUUAAGCAGCAUGCUGAUUAACGUUCAUUUUAUCAUAUUUAUAUGAUAGUGGCGGUCGUUUAGCUAGUAC